ensembl:lncRNA
GAUGACUUAAAACCUGGGAGGCAAUGCAGCUGCAUAUUUCAGCAGACAGGAAAUACUGCACUCACAAAACGUUGCAAAUGCAUAAAUAGGACUGCUACGACAGGAGCAGCCUUGGUUCUGUGCAGAGGUUAGAUACAAAUUCUAAGCACAAGUUUGGUUUUUUAACUUCCCUAGGACUUCUUUCUGGGCCAAACCUGUUGUUAAUUUUAGCAUUUAUUGGCUAUUGUAGCUAAGACUGAAUACUCAUUUAAACUCACUGGGAUACGAGUUGUACUUACAGUAUAUUCCAGGAAACUGUAGCUUACAUUUUCAUCUGAAAUACAAUGACAUGCAAAGCGUUUUUAACAUACGACACAAAUGCAUUCUGUUUUUCUUUCUCUUUGCUUUACAACAAUUUGAUCUUUACAGGACAAUCGUCACUACUUUUGCAGACCGAAAAACAAUCUCAUCCCUUCAGUGACUUCGUUAGAAACAUUUUCUUUCAAUCAUCUUUUAAAUCCACCAGUUUUAUCCAGUAGUUGACCAGUGAGAUCACUUGAGAAUUCAGGCUUAGAUCACUUCCUGGCACUGAGACUCAAGCACGUGCUUGUCAAGCUCAUCUUGAAGAGAUGACCUUGCCACAAGGCUAUAGAGAAACAAAGAAGGAAAACUGCAGGAUGCUAUGUAACACACUGCUGGAAUACCACAGUGCUAUUUAUUGCAGACUUGUCAGGAGUUGAGUGAUUUUCAGUGUGGUCCAUGAGGAAGCAAGAAGCUUGAACCAGCUUUGAAGUGACCUGGAGCACACUGCUCUGGUCUGGAUGCAAGUCGACUUUUCCAUUUUGCUAAGAACAUCUGCGUGGUGAUCCUCGCCACAAUGCCACCUGCAGCACUUCGGAUGCUGAGGUCAAGCCUGACACGAAGACAGCUGUUUGGCCAGGAGAUGGUCCCAAGGCACUUGCAUCCCAUUCCUUCUAAGGAACCAGAAUGCACUACAUAUCUUUUUGGAUGAAGGACAAUAUUCCUGAGAAAUAUCCAAGGAUCACAGACCCUCUGCUGUUGUUACUCAGCUUAUACACUAUUUUAACUAGACAUUUUCUGAAGUGCUUUGAUGAAGUUCCUGACAAGCCUUUAGCAAAGAAAUCUAAUCUCAUGAAAUAUUUCCUCCUGACCAAAGCAUGGACUUUGUAUGGACUGGGGAGGACACUGGAACAUUUUUAAUGUAUCCUGAAAUUCUGGGUCUCUGGCAAGUCUCUGAAGCCAAGAAAUACCAUAAGAAUGUGCAGGGUAUUACCUGAAAGUGCUCCACCUCUGCUAUGUGAAGUCAUGGCACUGUAUGAGCAUUAGAAAGAGCUCUCCCUGACUGACUGGAAAAUCCAUAUUCCCCGUUAGUAUUUUAACCUCUCCCCAUAGACAUAGGAAGAGAGGAUGUUAACCUAUUUAUAUGGGAAAUCAUUAGAAAAAGCACAAGAUUUAAAUUCACAUUCAUCAGUUUAUUGGGAUUUCUUGGUAUUAUUGUACUAGGUCCUUAAUUGUAUCUGUUUGCCUAUAACAAUUUUCAAGGGAAACAGCCCCAUUACUUGACACUUGAAGAAUUAUAUCAGGGAUACAUGGAUCAUUCUGUAUGGAAGUAAAACCAGAAAGUCAUGUACAAUAUUUUUGGCACCACUGCAUAAACUUAGAGGUUACUCAGGCCAUGCUCCGAGUCAAGGUACAAGACAGGGUAAGGACAGGACAGCUGAAGCAAAGAACCAAAUAGAGGGACAAAUCUAAACUGUCUGCAUACAAGAAUACCCCCAGCCACCUUGCCAAAAGGUUUUUCUGUAAGUAAAGUUGUCUUAGAAUGACUUGUGGGUUGAGGUCAUCACAUGUCACUGCUGACAUGGUUUCUGAAGGUCACCUUGGCAAACUCAAUUUGAUUUGUGUGGUUAAGCCUAAUGCUUUCUCUAGACUCAUUAUCAGAAAAUUUGGCAGUAUAUUGACAUUAUUAUGAACUGAAAUAGAUUUACAGUUAAAACUCAGCGUAGCAUUUCUCUCCAGUGUAAGACAGUUGGUAACAGGACUUAUCACAGAGUCAGAGGACAAACCUGACCUUGCAAGUGAGUCACCACGGACGUCAAACCUCCCGACAACAGCAAUUGAGUGAGAUGUCUACAGAGCUCCUAGAAGAAGCCCUCCAAGCUGGGCACUCUUCCCACUUUCAUAUUCUCAAUUGCCUAAUUCACUGAGAGGGGACAUCAAGGCCUGAAUGCUAUGUUACACUAAUUUUACAUACCAUAAUAUUUCUUCUUAAUUAAUCCAUGAGCAUUUGUGGAGAGGGCUGUAUCUAACUAGCAUAGAUCUUUCUAAAGCUAGAGAAUGCUUCACUAAUAUAUUUGGAUGAAGUUUUUGAUUUACAACCUUAAUUACAGAUGCCAGAAGUUCUACUUUUAAAGGACUUUUAUAUCAGAAAUUGCCAGCUGACUCUCAAGAAAUUCCUAGAAAUUCUGCUGGAGGUGGAAUAUGAUGGAGCUAAUCUAUUCUGAACACAGCUUGUUGAGUACACAAGUAAAACUGGCCAAGGUUUGCAGUAAGUCAGUCUGGGGAAGGAGGAUGUCUGGAUAAAAAAAAAAAAACCUCCAAUUCUUUUUUCACGAGUAGUUGUGGUGGUUUUGUGUUUGCUUUCUUGGCAAAUGUGGAAUAAAUACUCGAGUUCUGAAGUAGAUUGUUAAGCCAUCUAUCAGGAUCUAUCCUUUUCCAGGAAAGGGGAGAGGAACAGAAAUUUGUCUCAUUUCUCAGUGAAUAUAUUGAAAAUUGAAAAAAUACAAGUCAUAUUACCUAUUUCUUGCCCAGAUUUUUGCAGACAUAAGUUAUGUAACUAGCCAAGACCACAGGACAAUCAUGAAACAAUGCAGGAUCUAUCUGUGUGGUAAAAUGAAAUGCAUGUUCAUUAGUUCCUAUUUACUGUGUAUGUGAGCAUUUACAUACUGCAGAAUCCCGAGUCCUUAAUAUUUCAUCAUCAUAUGAGACUGAGUAAUUUAUGAUCUUGACAUUAGACUGGGACAGUAAAAAGAACAGUUGAUUAAAAUAGCAGUCACAGUAGGAAUAUGGAGGCCAACAUAUCAUGCAGUAGGAAAGGCCACAAAAGUCAUUUUUUCAUGGCUGAGCAUUAAUGGUGAUUUAUUCAGAUCGAGGCCUGAUGAUUUCAAGAGUUAAAAAUCCAACCAAGUCAUCUAAAAAUGUCUCCGUGCAUUGUGAAAGAAACAGAACUGCCCACCUGGAUCCAGAUGAGAAGCUGCAAGAGUCUGAUGUACAGUGUCAUCACUUUCUGACCUUUCAGCUUCCUAUGUGCUACUUCUGGAUCCUCUAACAACACUCUGUCUUCGUUCACUUUCAGAACCAGCCCACUUUUCUUCCUUAUAAUUUGGAUUGUUGAAUCUCUCUAUAUUUAAGAAAAUAAAACUGAGGUUUGGAUCCAUUUGACCAUACUAACAGUGAAUUUUAUUCUGUUUCUGUGGACUGAAAAUCAAAGGUGAGGGAACAUUUAAGUCAUUUGCUCCAUCUCAGCCCAACCAUAAAAAUCUUCUCAUGUUGGUUAUGCCUAUGAAUGAAAUGCAUCAGAUGCUGAUGCUGCAGCCUUUGAGUUACUUUAGCAGAAGUUCACCAUUUGUAUGUGGUUUGAAUAGAUGGAAUCAUGGGAGCACCAGAAAGGGCAUCAAUGUUCAUCAGCCAUAGCAAAUCUGUAAUCAUGUUAACCAUGCAGGACACAGUCUGACUAGACACUGGUAACAGAAAAGUGGCAGAAAA